rnacentral:tRNA from 1 species
GGCGUGCGUAGUAUAGCGGUAUUACAUUCUGCUCUUCGAGCGAAGGACUUAGGUUCGAUUCCUAACCACUCACCA